AGCAAAGCAGAUUUAAAAGAGCCCGUAUUAGGGCCGGCCCGGUGGCACAGCGGUUAAGUUCGCACGUUCCGCUUCAGUGGCCCGGGGUUCGCCGGUUCGGAUCCCGGGUGCAGACAUGGCACCGCUUGGCAAGCCAUGCUGUGGUAGGCGUCCCACAUAUAAAGUGGAGGAAGACGGGCACGGAUGUUAGCUCAGGGCCAGUCUUCCUCAGCAACAAAGAGGAGGAUUGGCAGCAGAUGUUAGCUCAGGGCUGAUCUUCCUCAAAAAAAAAAAAAAAAAAAAGAGCCCAUAUGAUCCAUUGCUAUUCUUGCUGUACUUGUGUGAAUAAUUGGGCCAAGUUUAUUAAAACUAGACUUAUUUUGCAAACCAAUGAGUCUUAAUGUCACUAUCUUUGGUAAAAAAAAAAAAAAAAAAAAAAGAGGGUGAUUUUAGAGAGAAAAAUUAUGUUCCGGUAAAAACUAUAACACACAUUUGUGGAUAAUAGAUUCUAGCUCUGUUAAUUGUCUUUGAGCUUUUUGUUUCCUGCCUGUAAACCGGACUGGAUCCUGAAUCCUUCUAGUUUCCUCCAAUAUCUGAUACACAUCAAACUAACGUUUUCCGUUUUUUCCAUCCUUUUCACUUGAAGUCAUUAAAAACUGAAGCCACCCUUUUUUCCCGAGGCCCUGAAAACUGAAACUGGACGGCUUGGUGUAAACUUAAGAGAGAUCACCACGAUGGCCCAUGUUUAGAGACUCUUCAUGUGUGUUGCUGUAUAGGCCACUUAAAAGCUUUAUCUGAACACCCAAUGACAUCAUCAGAGACAUUGCAAAAUGCAAAGGCUGUUUCGACCCUGACAUCUGGAAAUCUUUUUGACUGGCCAUCCCCUGGGCUGAGAAAUUAACUUGUAAUUGGCUCCAACCAUUAACCUUGUUUUUCUUUUGUUCGUCAGAUUUCACUUGAGUUUCCAGGCCCAACCUUGAUUGGUUUACAGGCCUCUUCUCUUGGAUUCCCUAAGGAUUGAGAUCCAUUAUGGAGGGGAUACUAAAAUUUGGGCUGUGGGCUGGCCCGGUGGCACAGCGGUUAAGUUCGCACGUUCCGCUUCAGUGGCCCGGGGUUCGCCGGUUCGGAUCCCGGGUGCAGACAUGGCACCGCUUGGCAAGCCAUGCUGUGAACAACAGGAGGACUGCUGCUAAGAGAGCAACUUGCUGACAGCCUCCCUCACCUGACUAAGGAUUGCACAGCGGUGUCUGGACGCCACCCUGCCACUGGCAAGCCACAUGAUGCUGACUCAAGCCACCACCUACGUUCAGCCCAUGCUGCACUCUGAUGCCUCCUACACGGGACUGGAUGGGGCCCAAACAGCCGAGGGGGCACUUGGGCAUCAAGGGACCUGAAUACUCCCCAAAUUGAUCAAAGGUGUCGCCCUGGCAAACCUAUGAUUAAGAGGGGGAAAUGACAAAAGAAAGAGAUAAGAACGAGGCCAGAGUCAACGUGACCCCCUCAAGGCUGAACUAUGGGCAGAAAUAAAAGAUUACAUUUUAACCUCCACUGUCACCAGGACGGCCGGAGAACGAUGCGGUCGUUUUUCCCUGCAGUUAGAACACUUAGAAAGCCCCGGGCACAAGACAAACUGUAGCUGGAAAGGGUGGCCGAUCAGAGCGGGACUCAGCCCUAACGUUGCAUACUCUGCACAUUUUUGCCUUUCCAACCUGGCCACCCCGAGACCGGGGGGGGUGGGAGGCGGGGGGUGCUCACCUAUCAACUUGCGAGUUGAGGCAUACUUCCCUGGUUUGCAAACGUUUAAUAAAGCUUCUCUUUUCUUUAAAACUUAUCUUUGCCUCAUCAAGCUGCUCAUUUGGGUUAACACAGCCUCUUAAAACAAAAGAAACAAAGAAGCAAAAAAACCCAGUAAGUUUCCAGACAAAUGACAAGACAAAGGGAAAGGACUUUGAGUUUCUGGGGUGGCAAACCGUGGAAAGGUAAAUAUGUGGGGAAUGAUGGAAGAUAAGGGCUAGUCACCAACGUUUGUUGUGCAGAGCCCUCUGGUGCCAGUCUCUGGGCUGAUAAGGGUCUAGAGUUGUCGGGUGAUUAACUUCUGUACAAAUUUGUGUCCUGCUUUUAGGCAAAUAGGGGAGAGGCAGAGAGCUUUUCUCCUGUCUGCUUCAGCUCAAAGUAAU
ensembl:lncRNA